UACGUAGGUGGCAAGCGUUGUCCGGAUUUAUUGGGCGUAAAGCGAGCGCAGGCGGUUUUUUAAGUCUGAUGUGAAAGCCCUCGGCUCAACCGGGGAAGGGCAGUGGAAACUGGGAAACUUGAGUGCAGAAGAGGAGAGUGGAAUUCCAUGUGUAGCGGUGAAAUGCGUAGAUAUAUGGAAGAACACCAGUGGCGAAGGCGCCUUUCUGGACUGUAACUGACGCUGAGGCUCGAAAGAGUGGGUAGCAAACAGG
rnacentral:rRNA from 1 species